rnacentral:sRNA from 1 species
CCUUGAUCAGUGGCUGGCCUGCUCUGAGGCUGUCCCCAGGAAGGAGGGGUGAGGUUUGCCAGCCUGGCUGAUGUAAGGACUUCCCUUCCAGUCCUCUGUGAAGUUGCGGCUGCUCUGCAGCCAGGUACUAAAGGAGCUGCUGGGACAGGGAAUUGAUUAUGAGAAGAUCCUGAAGCUCACGGCUGACGCCAAGUUUGAGUCAGGUGAUGUGAAGGCCACAGUGGCAGUGCUGAGUUUCAUCCUCUCCAGUGCGGCCAAGCACAGUGUCGAUGGCGAAUCCUUGUCCAGUGAACUGCAGCAGCUGGGGCUGCCCAAAGAGCACGCGGCCAGCCUGUGCCGCUGUUAUGAGGAGAAGCAAAGCCCCUUGCAGAAGCACUUGCGGAUCUGCAGCCUACGCAUGAAUAGGUUGGCAGGUGUGGGCUGGCGGGUGGACUACACCCUGAGCUCCAGCCUGCUGCGGUCCGUGGAAGAGCCCAUGGUGCACCUGCGGCUGGAGGUGGCAGCUGCCCCAGGGACCCCAGCCCAGCCUGUUGCCAUGUCCCUCUCAGCAGACAAGUUCCAGGUCCUCCUCGCAGAACUGAAGCAGGCCCAGACCCUGAUGAGCUCCCUGGGCUGAGGAGAAGGGUGUUGCAGGCCUGUGUGGAGCCGCCCUGCCCGUAUGGAGUCACACCCUCUGAACUGCUCUUUGGGAGGCAGCCCUGGUUCUAGGAUGCUGAGGCCCUGGCCUGGACUCUGGCCUCCCAGAUCCCCAGCUGCCUCACUUGUCUCUUGAGAACUCGGCUCAGGGCUCCUGAGGACCUUUCCCAGCAUUACCUUCCCUUCCCUUGAAAGGCAAUUGUUGGCUGUUUUCAUGAGCAGGAAAAAUAA